rnacentral:lncRNA from 1 species
GGGAAGCAGACUUGGAAGAAAUUAGCAUGCAGAAAGUAUACUAGAGAGUGCUCUGGGAUUGGCACCUGUAAGGGAAGUAAAAGAUGCAAGACUGGACAGAGGGGGUUAAGCAAUACGGUCACAACAGGGCCACAACUCUAUGGGGUGCUUUGAAGCUAGGAUGCAGAGGUUGCAGUGAGCUGGGAUCGCGCCACGGCACUCCAGCCUGGGUGACAGAGCAAGACUCCGC